UACGAAGGGGCUAGCGUUGCUCGGAAUCACUGGGCGUAAAGCGCACGUAGGCGGCUUUUAAGUCAAGGGGUGAAGUCCUGGAGCUCAACUCCAGAACUGCCUUUGAAUACUGAGUAGCUUGGAGUCCGGGAGAGGUGAGUGGAACUGCGAGUGUAGAGGUGAAAUUCGUAGAUAUUCGCAAGAACACCAGUGGCGAAGGCGGCUCACUGGCCCGGUACUGACGCUGAGGUGCGGAAAGCGUGGGGAGCGAACGAGGA
rnacentral:rRNA from 1 species